rnacentral:misc_RNA from 1 species
UCAUCAUCACUACCACCCUCAAGAUGUGCUUUUCCAGAUGUUCCAGCAACCUUGAACAGAAGGUCACCCAGCAACUCUACAGAACUCUGCCUGAUACGCCAGUUAUCAUUGAAAAUACCUUCUUCCACAGCCGGAAGAAGCAGAGGCAAAGAUGUAGUUGCGUAGUGCUCCACCAGAACGUGCCCAGCGCUGAGUGCUGCUUCACGCACAGAUUCAUUCUCAUCGGCCAAACCAUCUAAGAUAGCUGGAAGAACUUGCUGCAAAUAGUUCUGGAAUUGCACACCUAAAGAUCUUGGCAGAUACCUAAAGAGUGCCAAGUGGCCAUCACGUACUGAUGCCUUUUGAUGAGAACAAUUUCGUACUAUAUCAGGAAGUAUGUUCUCAAAGUACUCCAUUCCUAAUGCAGCCAAUACCUCACUAAGUCCCUGUGCUGCCCCAGAACGCUCAACAUUGUUACCAUCAGACUUCAAAGUAUCCAACAACCAAGGUACCAGGUCUGGGAAAUUUUCUUCUCCCAUACCCCGUAUAAGAGAACCAAUAGCUCUUGCAGCAACAGAUCGAACUUCAGGAAUUGGAUCUACAAGUACCUUCUUAACUUCAGGGAGCAGUAGUCCUAUGUAGGGUAUCAUGUCCUUAGGCUCAGUCACUAAUGAACACAUAUUUCCAGCAAUUUGUGCAGCUUUCUUCUUAGUCUCAGCGCUCCUUUCACGAAGCCCUCGGUGUACAAUUGGUACUAGCAACGCCAGAGAAGGAGCAUCAAUUGAAUUCACAAAGGUUGUCUGGAGGAGAAUAUCAAGGGAGUAUUUUGUAUACUCAUUAGGAUCUGAAAGACCCAUUAGAAGAGUAGGGACAAGUGCAGAUAUCUCAGGGUUCUUUAUAACACUCCCAACCUGUUGAAGAGCUGUCUGUCCAGCUGAUUGAACCUUGGGAUGAGUGUCAGUAAGCACCUCAGUUAACUUCGGCACAAUCUUAGGGAGACAUUGCGACAAUUGUUGUGGAGCACAAUAGGCCAUGGCACCAAGAAGUUGUACACUACUCUGCUUGGUUCUCCAAGCCUUAUCUUCAAGGCCCUUUAAAAGUGAGGGAAGAAUUAAUUUCACUCCUUGAGCACUAAGCUGAGACAUCAUUGCCCGAGCAGCACAUUCAGCAGCAUCACGCACCG